UACAGAGGGUGCGAGCGUUGUCCGGAAUCACUGGGCGUAAAGCGCGUGUAGGCGGCUCGGUAAGUCCGCUGUGAAAGUCGGGGGCUCAACCCUCGGAUGCCGGUGGAUACUGUCGGGCUAGAGUACGGAAGAGGCGAGUGGAAUUCCUGGUGUAGCGGUGAAAUGCGCAGAUAUCAGGAGGAACACCAAUUGCGAAGGCAGCUCGCUGGGACGUUACUGACGCUGAGACGCGAAAGCGUGGGGAGCAAACAGG
rnacentral:rRNA from 1 species